GUGCUUGCUUCUGUAGCACAUAUAUUAUACUUGGAAUGAUAGAGAUUAGCUUGGCCCCUACACAAGGAUAACAUCCAAAUUUAUGAAGUGCUCCAUAUUUUU